rnacentral:lncRNA from 1 species
GUUUCGUGAGGAUUGUUGUUGCUGCAUCUGCUGGAAACCAGAAAAGGGCUGUGCGCUCCCGAAGGCUGGCUGUGCGCUCCCGAAGGCUGGCUGUGCGCUUCCGAAGGCUGAAACUUGACUUUGAUUGCUUGCUCCUCCGAAUAAAGAAGACCCUUCUGCUUCAGGUUUAGCGCUUUGUGCUCCAAAAACUGAAGUUUGAAAGAGCUGUGCGCUUCCGAAGGUCGACUGUGAAAGUCCGAAGCCUGCCGGUGAGCUUCCGAAGGCUGGCUGUGCGCUUCCGAAGGCUGAAACUGGACUUUGAUUGCUUGCUCCUCCGAAUAAAGAUGGCCCUCCUGCUUCAGGUGUAGCGCUUUGUGCUCCAAAAACUGAAGUUUGAAAGGGCUGUGCGCUUCCGAAGGUCGACUGUGAAAGUCCGAAGCCUGCCGGUGAGCUUCCGAAGGCUGGCUGUGCGCUUCCGAAGGCUGAAACUGGACUUUGAUUGCUUGCUCCUCCGAAUAAAGAUGGCCCUCCUGCUUCAG